GACGAACGCUGGCGGCGUGCCUAAUACAUGCAAGUCGAGCGGAUCUCUUCGGAGAUCAGCGGCGGACGGGUGAGUAACACGUGGGCAACCUGCCUGUAAGACUGGGAUAACUCCGGGAAACCGGGGCUAAUACCGGAUAACCCUUCGGACCUCAUGGUCCGGAGCUGAAAGACGGUUAUGCUGUCACUUACAGAUGGGCCCGCGGCGCAUUAGCUAGUUGGUGAGGUAACGGCUCCCCAAGGCGACGCUGCGUAGCCGACCUGAGAGGGGGAGCGGCCACGCUUGGACAGAGACACGGCCCAGACUCCGACGGGAGGCAGCAGUAGGGAAUCUUCCGCAAUGGACGAAAGUCUGACGGAGCUACGCCGCGUGAGUGAAGAAGGUUUUCGGAUCGUAAAACUCUGUUGUUAGGGAAGAACAAGUACGAGAGUAACUGCUCGUACCUUGACGGUACCUAACCAGAAAGCCACGGCUAACUACGUGCCAGCAGCCGCAGUAAUAC
rnacentral:rRNA from 1 species